GAUGAACGCUGGCGGCGUGCUUAACACAUGCCAGUCGAACGGUGAAGGCGCAGCUUGCUCUGCUGGAUCAGUGGCGAACGGGUGAGUAACACGUGAGCAAUCUGCCCCUGACUCUGGGAUAAGCGCUGGAAACGGCGUCUAAUACUGGAUACGAGCUGCGAAGGCAUCUUCAGCAGCUGGAAAGAAUUUCGGUCAGGGAUGAGCUCGCGGCCUAUCAGCUUGUUGGUGAGGUAAUGGCUCACCAAGGCGUCGACGGGUAGCCGGCCUGAGAGGGUGACCGGCCACACUGGGACUGAGACACGGCCCAGACUCCUACGGGAGGCAGCAGUGGGGAAUAUUGCACAAUGGGCGAAAGCCUGAUGCAGCAACGCCGCGUGAGGGACGACGGCCUUCGGGUUGUAAACCUCUUUUAGCAGGGAAGAAGCGAAAGUGACGGUACCUGCAGAAAAAGCGCCGGCUAACUACGUG
rnacentral:rRNA from 1 species